CAUCAAGUACAUCAAGUAAUUGCAAAACCCAUCUAAUUUUAAGUAGAGUAUGAAAUGUUGUGAGUUUAUAAUAAUACCUAAUUCAUGUCCUGUCCGGAUAGAUGCGCUUUGGUCGUACAAAACGAAUGACUAGUGAUUACAAAUUGCCUAUGAGAAAUCUGUAUCUUCAGCAUCCUAGCGAUUAAAACUGAUGAGGAUUAAAGAGAUUCAUGCAAAUUAUUUGAACACCUAUAUAAAGCAUUGAAGGCUUCUGGUGAACAACACGAUAUAGAAAAAUAUAUUGAUAUGCGUUUCAAUGAUUAUUUUAGUUUAAAACGAGAACCUAAUCACCAGAGUCAUGAAAUGUCAUUUGUUAGUAUCUCCAAAAAAAUAUAUAGCAAUGCCGAAGCAAAUUAUUUCUUUAUAAUCUCCUGAUCUACUCAAUUUUUAAUUUCUUAAGUUGAAAUCUGACAUUCCGAUUAUUUACAUAUACUUACAAUGAAAUGUUGC